rnacentral:rRNA from 1 species
UACGUAGGGUGCAAGCGUUGUCCGGAAUUAUUGGGCGUAAAGAGCUCGUAGGCGGUCUGUCGCGUCGGCUGUGAAAACCCGGAGCUCAACUCCGGGCCUGCAGUCGAUACGGGCAGACUGGAGUUCGGCAGGGGAGACUGGAAUUCCUGGUGUAGCGGUGAAAUGCGUAGAUAUCAGGAGGAACACCUGCGGUGUAGACGGCUUACUGGACCAUAACUGACGCUGAGGCACGAAAGCGUGGGUAGCAAACAGG